AGAAAAUCUCUGAAUGCAGCAUUUGUUCAUGAAUUACUCUGACAUAUACAGCUCAAAGCUGAUUCGGUUACUUGAAAGAUUGGACUAAUGAAGAAGAGACACACCACAAGGAUGCGUGCUGCUGCUAAAUACUCAGUCCUGCUGCUGCAGAGCCUCCACAACUUCCAACGUUCAUUUGAAUUUUGGAACGUUGGUGGCAACGUUCAUAAUCCAACGUUUAGAAUUUUGCAACGGUCGUUUCUUUGCAUUAUAAAUAUACCAUCCAUCGUUCCAAUUGCAACACACAAAUCACAUAUUUUCAAUUUCUAUUUUCACUUUUGAUUUCCUACCUUCUAUUUUAUUUUCUAUAUCUCAUAUCCUCCUUGUAUAGAGUUUCUUGCGGUUUGAGUUUUGAUGAGUUGAAGAGAACUGAGAACAAGAUCAUUGCAAAACGAAGAAACGGGCUUUUGAAGAAAGCUUAUGAGCUUUCCGUUCUCUGUGAUGCCGAGCUUGCUCUCAUCAUCAUCAUCUUCUCCACUAGAGGAAAGUUGUACGAGUUUUGCAGCACUUCAAGUAUGCUGAAAACGCUAGAAAGGUAUCAGAAAUGUAACUAUGGAGCGCCUUGGUAUUGUUCCCAUAUCCGUACUUCUUUCAGAAAAAUGAAGAAGCUCACCCGAGACCAUACAUUUAUUGUUGCUGCUCGGAAGGAGUAUUCACUGCUUGUAUGAUACUUAAAAGUCCUAAGGAAAUAAAAAUCUUAUGGGGGUUGCAGGUUGUUAGCAGUGAUGGGAGAAAAGGGUCAAGCGGCUUCAUCCACUUUGUUAUCUGUAGAGAAUUUGCCAGAGGAUCAUUCAACGAAUAUUCCAUGAAGCUGGAAAUAUAAAGAGGAUAACAAUUAAUGACCCAUAUUCUACUUCACAGUCCACAAAACAUAUAAAGCAAGAAAUGUUAAUCAGUAUAAGGUGGCAUUGAGCUUGUUUGGUCCUCCGUUGAGAUAUAUAGUCAUUUAGAAGAUGACGUGCUUCUCUUUCUUAGAUGAAGCUAGAUCACAUGUUUGAUGAACAGAAAAAUUGUUUUGACAAAAGGAUUCGUAGUAUCUUUUCUUUUGACUUUUGGAUUGAAAAAUUGUUUUGACUUAUGUAUCUGAACAUUUUCACGGAGGAACAUCUGCUUAUUUCUGACGAUUGGUAGGUACUUCACAGUUACAAUUUUUAUAAAGAAAUGUACUAUAAAUUGGAAAUAGUUUGACAUCAUCACAAAA